CUCUCUCCGAGGCAGCAGGCGCGUAAUUACUUAUCUGAAAGGGAGGUGGAAACAAGAUAUAAAAACGCAUUUAAUUGUGAUAGAAAUGAGGGUUCUCUCUACCGAACCACUAGUACGAUUAGAGGGCAAGUCUGGUGCCAGCAGCCGCGGUAAUUCCAGCUCUAAUAGCGUAUAUUAAAGUUGCUGCAGUUAAAAAGCUCGUAUUUGGAUUUCAAGGAUUGUGUACUCUUCCAGGGUAUGCACCCUACAAUCUUUGACUUGUUACUGUGAGAAAAUUAGAGUGUUUAAAGCAGGCUAUUGCAGAAUACAUCAGCAUGGAAUAACGAAUGUAUCCUAGAAUCUUGGGUAAUCCAGGAACGAUUAAUAGAGACAGUUGGGGGCAUGAGAGAGAGAAGUGCAGAGGGAAAUCUGGAUUGCCCCCACUCACCGCCCCCCAAUGAUUGGCAGGGAGGUUCGUGAUCAGACGAACAACGGGAACAAGACAUCAUAUCUGUCGUAUCCUAUCUUAACCAUCGCGACAAGGAUUGGAUUGGGCUCUCACAUUUCAGUACCUUAUGAAAUCAAGUUUUGGUUCCGGGGGAAUAUGUCCCCUACCUGAACUUAUGAAUUUGAUGUAGGACCCAGGAGUGGAGCCGGGGCUUAAUUGAACCCACCGUGUAAACUACAGUGCCGACCUAGUAGGAUGACAGAUUGUAGCCCUCUCCUGUGAUCUAGGGUGGGGGUGCAGUGCCUCUUAUUUGGGGAGAGGAUUGCU
rnacentral:rRNA from 1 species